GAUGAACGCUGGCGGCGUGCCUAAUACAUGCAAGCCGAGCGAAUGGAUUAAGAGCUUGCUCUUAUGAAGUUAGCGGCGGACGGGUGAGUAACACGUGGGUAACCUGCCCAUAAGACUGGGAUAACUCCGGGAAACCGGGGCUAAUACCGGAUAAUAUUUUGAACUGCAUGGUUCAAAAUUGAAAGGCGGCUUCGGCUGUCACUUAUGGAUGGACCCGCGUCGCAUUAGCUAGUUGGUGAGGUAACGGCUCACCAAGGCAACGAUGCGUAGCCGACCUGGGAGGGUGAUCGGCCACACUGGGACUGAGACACGGCCCAGACUCCUACGGGAGGCAGCAGUAGGGAAUCUUCCGCAAUGGACGAAAGUCUGACGGAGCAACGCCGCGUGAGUGAUGAAGGCUUUCGGGUCGUAAAACUCUGUUGUUAGGGAAGAACAAGUGCUAGUUGAAUAAGCUGGCACCUUGACGGUACCUAACCAGAAAGCCACGGCUAACUACGUGCCAGCAGCCACCGUAA
rnacentral:rRNA from 1 species